rnacentral:rRNA from 1 species
UACGUAGGGGGCGAGCGUUGUCCGGAUUUAUUGGGCGUAAAGAGCUCGUAGGCGGUUCGGUAAGUCAGGUGUAAAAACUCCAGGCUCAACUUGGAGAGGCCACCUGAUACUGCCGUGACUAGAGUCCGGUAGAGGAGCACGGAAUUCCUGGUGUAGCGGUGAAAUGCGCAGAUAUCAGGAGGAACACCGGUGGCGAAGGCGGGUCUCUGGGCCGUAACUGACGCUGAGGAGCGAAAGCGUGGGGAGCGAACAGG